UCUCUCUCCCUUGCUGUACCACCUUCACCACCAUCCAUGCGACCCCAAGAGCCUUAAUGACUCUAGAAGAGACUCCAGGCAGGGGAAGCUGAAAGGACCUUUCACUCCCUACUUUUGGCCAGGGCCUUCUGUGCCACCUGCCAAGGCCAGCAGGCCUACCCUCUGAAGAGGUCCAAGCAACGGAAGUACUACUACGAAGCUGCCUUUCUGGCCAUCCUUGAGAAAAACAGACAGAUGGCCAAGGAGAGGGGCCUAAUAAGCCCCAGUGAUUUUGCCCAGCUGCAAAAAUACAUGGAAUACUCCACCAAAAAGGUCAGUGAUGUCCUAAAGCUCUUCGAGGAUGGCGAGAUGGCUAAAUAUGUCCAAGGAGAUGCCAUUGGGUACGAGGGAUUCCAGCAAUUCCUGAAAAUCUAUCUGGAAGUGGAUAAUGUUCCCAGACACCUAAGCCUGGCACUGUUUCAAUCCUUUGAGACUGGUCACUGCUUAAAUGAGACAAAUGUGACAAAAGAUGUGGUGUGUCUCAAUGAUGUUUCCUGCUACUUUUCCCUUCUGGAGGGUGGUCGGCCAGAAGACAAGUUAGAAUGUGAGUUGCCCUUCUG
rnacentral:sRNA from 1 species